rnacentral:rRNA from 1 species
AACGAACGCUGGCGGCAGGCUUAACACAUGCAAGUCGAGCGCCCCGCAAGGGGAGCGGCAGACGGGUGAGUAACGCGUGGGAACGUACCCUUUGCUACGGAAUAGCUCCGGGAAACUGGAAUUAAUACCGUAUGUGCCCUACGGGGGAAAGAUUUAUCGGCAAAGGAUCGGCCCGCGUUGGAUUAGCUAGUUGGUGGGGUAAUGGCCUACCAAGGCGACGAUCCAUAGCUGGUCUGAGAGGAUGAUCAGCCACAUUGGGACUGAGACACGGCCCAAACUCCUACGGGAGGCAGGAGUGGGGAAUAUUGGACAAUGGGCGCAAGCCUGAUCCAGCCAUGCCGCGUGAGUGAUGAAGGCCUUAGGGUUGUAAAGCUCUUUCACCGGGGAAGAUAAUGACGGUACCCGGAGAAGAAGCCCCGGCUAACUCCGUGCCAGCCGCCGCGGUAA